UACGUAGGGCGCAAGCGUUAAUCGGAAUUACUGGGCGUAAAGCGUGCGCAGGCGGUUUUGCAAGACAGAUGUGAAAUCCCCGGGCUCAACCUGGGAACUGCAUUUGUGACUGCAAGGCUAGAAUCUGGCAGAGGGGGGUAGAAUUCCACGUGUAGCAGUGAAAUGCGUAGAUAUGUGGAGGAAUACCGAUGGCGAAGGCAGCCCCCUGGGCUAAGAUUGACGCUCAUGCACGAAAGCGUGGGGAGCAAACAGG
rnacentral:rRNA from 1 species